GAUGAACGCUAGCGAUAGGCCUAACACAUGCAAGUCGAGGGGCAGCACAUGAAGUAGCAAUACGGAUGGUGGCGACCGGCGCACGGGUGAGUAACGCGUAUGCAAUCUACCUACAACAAGGGGAUAACCCGUUGAAAGACGGACUAAUACCCUAUAAUACAGGGGUCCCGCAUGGGAAUAUUUGUUAAAGAUUUAUCGGUUGUAGAUGAGCAUGCGUUCCAUUAGCUAGUUGGUGAGGUAACGGCCCACCAAGGCAACGAUGGAUAGGGGAACUGAGAGGUUUAUCCCCCACACUGGUACUGAGAUACGGACCAGACUCCUACGGGAGGCAGCAGUGAGGAAUAUUGGUCAAUGGGCGCAAGCCUGAACCAGCCAUCCCGCGUGCAGGAAGACGGCCCUAUGGGUUGUAAACUGCUUUUCCAGGGGGUGAAACUCCCGUACGUGUACGGGACUGACGGUACCCUGGGAAUAAGCAUCGGCUAACUCCGUG
rnacentral:rRNA from 1 species